GGGUGCUAUGGGAUGCUAUGGGGCUGCUAUGGGACGCUAUGGGGUGCUAUGGGGUCGCAUUUCCCUCACCAACACGCAAUCCCGAUCCCGGACCCAAAAUCCAACACAGUCUGUGGGGUAAAAGUGGGGACGCGGAGCUGAAUCUGUAGGGCAGGGAUGGCGUCAGCCCCAGAGAAUUCCCCACAGAGACCCCACAGGGAUCCCAUAGAGAGACCCCAUAGGGACCCCAUAGGGCUCCACCUCACGCAGUGCUCUCCCCACAGCCGCAUGGUCCCGCUGCAACCUCAUGGCCAUGUAGGAACGCGCCAGCUCUGCUGGGUGCCUCACUUUGGGUCCUGGCUUCUGCUGCGCCUCCUCCGCACCCCAAAGCUCUUCGUCCUGUAGGAUGCUCUGUGCUGCCCUGGCCAGGGCUGGGGGCAGCUGCAGCACUUUGGGGUGCCGAACCCCCCCGUGCUUAUGUCUCCGUUCGCCCCGCACGCCCCACAGCAGCCGCCGUGCCCACAUGGGCGCCGCCAUCUUGCCGCCGGCACGCCGGAAGAGGAAAAGGAGGGGCUCGGCGGCUCGGCCAAUAGGAGGGGACGGAGCGUGAUGGACGGCUGGGAUGACCAACGGGAGAGCGAAAGAGGUUUCGCCGCGCGUUCCCCAUUGGUUGCUCCCAAUCACCGCCUCGGGGCCCUUAAGAGCGAAAUCAGGACCUUCUCCUUUAAAGAAACGGGAUAAAAAAGCCAUAGUUUAUUUUGUUAAUGAAAAUACGUAAUUACAAAAGCAAAAAUAUCAACCCUUCAGCAGCUCUAUGGUUGGUACGGAAUAGCGCGGCACACACAGAAGUGACGCUCCAGCAUUCAAUCCUGGUCAGUCCUCCAACGUCUCUAUGGUCGUAAGUCCUCCACCGUCUCUAUGGUUGUAAGUCCUCCACCAUCUCUAUGGCCACGAGUCCUCCACUGUCUGUAUAGCCAUAAGUUCCCCAUUGUCUCUCCGGUCACAAGUCCUCCAUACCAUAGACACCGCAAGAUCUCCAACACACUCAGGGUAGUCCUCCCAGCACCAAUGAGAGAACAAAACAACCCCAACAGUCUCUAUGAUCACAGUGACAGUUCUGCACCAAGAAAACCAUAGAGAGCAGAGAACUCCAUCCCCCAUUUCCUCCCCCCUAUGCUCUCCACUCAACGCAAGGCCGCCCUUUGGACGCUCUACCCCCUCGCCGCUCCUCUCUGUGGUCCUCAGUCCUCCAGCAGCGCUCCCAGCAUCCCCCGGGGCGCCGCCCACAGCCGCUCCCAUUGGCUGCGGCCGCGCAGGAAGAGCUCCAGGUGGAGGCGGUGCUCAACAUGGCGCCCGUGGGGGUCCCUCAGCAGAGCCCGGCGUUGGGGGGCUGCGGGUGUGGGGCAGAGCUCAGCCUCAUCGAGGCCUUCCUCAAACCCACAAAGGGAUUCUGGGGGGGGGGGGGGGGGGAACAGGGCCGUUUUGGGGUUCCUCACCCAGCUCGGAGGCGAUGGCGGCACGCAUGGGGGCGGAGCAGGAAGCCAAGAUGGCGUCCAGGACACGGCUGCCGUUGCGGUGGCAGGCGAGGGACAGGAAAUGGCCCUGUGAUGUCACGAAGGGGGCGGGGCUACAGUGAGAGGCUCCGCCCCCAACCACGGUGGCGCUUAUGAAGGUGGGCGGGGCUUCGUUGAGGCUCCACCUCCA
rnacentral:lncRNA from 1 species